AAAAAGCGGAGGAAAAGAAACUAACAAGGAUUCCCCUAGUAGCGGCGAGCGAAGCGGGAAGAGCUCAAAUUUAUAAUCUGGCGCUUUCAGCGUCCGAGUUGUAAUCUCUAGAAGUGUUUUCCGCGUUGGACCGCACAUAAGUCUGUUGGAAUACAGCGGCACAGUGGUGAGACCCCCGUUCACGGUGCGGAUGCCCAAUGCUUUGUGAUACACUUUCGAAGAGUCGAGUUGUUUGGGAAUGCAGCUCAAAUUGGGUGGUAAAUUCCAUCUAAAGCUAAAUAUUGGCGAGAGACCGAUAGCGAACAAGUACCGUGAGGGAAAGAUGAAAAGCACUUUGGAAAGAGAGUUAACAGUACGUGAAAUUGUUGGAAGGGAAACGCUUGAAGUCAGACUUGCUAUUCGGGGCUUGCUCCGAGUUGCAGGCCAGCAUCAGUUUUUCGGGGCGGAAAAUCACGGAUUGAAGGUAGCAGUUUCGGCUGUGUUAUAGCUUUCCGUUGGAUACGUCCUGGGGGACUGAGGAACGCAGUGUGCUUUUAGCGAGGGCUUCGGCUCUUCACACUUAGGAUGCUGGAGUGAGGUU
rnacentral:rRNA from 1 species